GAUGAACGCUGGCGGCGUGCCUAACACAUGCAAGUCGAGCGAACAGACGAGGAUCUUGCCUGUCUGACGUUAGGGGCGGGCGGGUGAGUAACACGAGGAUAACCUACCUAUAAGACUGGGAUCACUUCGGGAAACCGGAGCUAACACCGGAUAAUAUAUUGAACCGCAUGGUUCAUUGGUGAAAGACGGUUUUGCUGACACUUAUAGAUGGAUCCAGGCCGGAUUAGCUAGUUGGUAGGGUAACGGCCUACCAAGGCUACGAUGCGUAGCCGACCUGAGAGGAUGAUCGGCCACACUGGAACUGAGACACGGUCCAGACUCCUACGGGAGGCAGCAGUAGGGAAUCUUCCGCAAUGGGCGAAAGCCUGACGCAGCAACGCCGCGUGAGUGAUGAAGGUCUUCGGAUCGUAAAGCUCCGUUAUUAGGGAAGAACAAAUGUGUAAGUAACUAUGCACGUCUUGACGGUACCUAAUCAGAAAGCCACGGCUAACUACGUG
rnacentral:rRNA from 1 species